rnacentral:rRNA from 1 species
UACGUAGGGAGCGAGCGUUGUCCGGAAUUACUGGGUGUAAAGGGAGCGUAGGCGGGGUAGCAAGUCAGGUGUGAAAACUAUGGGCUCAACCCAUAGACUGCACUUGAAACUGUUAUUCUUGAGUGAAGUAGAGGUAAGCGGAAUUCCUAGUGUAGCGGUGAAAUGCGUAGAUAUUAGGAGGAACAUCAGUGGCGAAGGCGGCUUACUGGGCUUUUACUGACGCUGAGGCUCGAAAGCGUGGGGAGCAAACAGGAUUAGAUACC